CGCCCCCACCAGCUGCCCAAAACCCUCUCCCCGUUCGUCGCCCCCCUGCCUCUCCGUCUCCGCCGACGUCGUACGGCCUGCGCCGCGAGGACCUGCUGCUUCAACCGGAACCCGGUGGUCUUCUUCGCCACCCAAGUCGUAACCCCAAAUCCCAGGAGCCGGCGGCGGCGCAGGUGUUGCUGAUAAGGGGAACACCAGAGGCUGAGUUAAGGUACAAGCUUCAUGGUUAUGUGACUAAAAAUUGUGUGGUAGUUAUAUUGAUUGAGAUUGUGUGCUGGUCAUAUAGAUUGAAUGAUGCAUGGUUAUGUUACUAAAAAUUGUGUGCUGGUCAUAUAGUGUUCAUAUGGUGUGUAUGAAUUGUAGUUGUAUCAUAUGGUAUUCGGUAAUGGCUAUGUUUUUAUUGGUUGUUGGACAUGGUCUUAAAAUGAGGAUCUUGCGGGGCACAUACAAGCGUUCUUUAGACACUAUCAGUAGGCACUUCUCCUCCGUGUUAACAGCCAUACUUUCCCUAAGUGGGGAGUUUAUCAAGCUUCCCAAUCCAUCCGUCGAGCCUCCGGAUGAUUACAAAUGGAAGUGGUUUGGUGAUGCAUUGGGAGCACUAGAUGGGUGUCAUGUUGCUGUUUCUGUCGUUCUGGCUGACCAAGGAAGAUAUAGGAACAGAAAGCAAGCGAUCAGCACUAACAUGCUAGGUGUGGUUGACUGGAGCAUGAAAUUUCUUUAUGUUCUACCUUGCUGGGAGGGAUCUUCAUCUGACUCCAGAGUGUUGCGUGAUGCAAUGAGAGACAACCGUCAAGAUGCAUUUGUUGUACCUCAGGGAAAGUACUACUUCAGUUGAUACCAGACUUGUCAGAACCAGACAUGUUACGGGCAUAUGGGAAGCUGAUUCUUAAUGAGCGUUUGUUUGAAGCUCUAAUGGAGCUGCCCAUGGAAAUGAGGAAGUCAUGGCUGUUAGUGUUGCCUUAAAUUUAUCCAAAUGUUCCUUUCCAGUUUGCCUUGAUCAACUACCUGAACCUAUUUGAACUAGUCCGGUGAUGCUAAAUUUAGAACUAUGUGUUGUUGUUUAGUUGUGAGUUUGGAAACUCCAUAUGUGAACUAUGUGUUGCUGUACCGGUCUUGUUAAGAAUUUGCUCUCUGUUGGCGCAAUUAUUGUUUUUAGAGUUUUAUUUUCUAUUGAUGUGUGAAUAUUAUUUGGUGUCGUCAUGCCUUUCUAGAAUAUUUGUUCAUUUUUAUUGCUAUAUAAUCAUUCAAUUAUACUCAGAAAUUGUGCAGAUUUGAUUUGAUGCAUAAAACACAAAGCAUAUGCAAUUCCAUAGUAUGUCAUCCGAACAGGAUUUGGUAUUGAGAUUCCAUGGCCCAAUUCCAUGAGCAUCCAAACAUGUGAAUUCGUAUUCAUUCUCAUUAAAGUUUCUGCUCCGAAUUGGAAAGAGAAACCAACUCAAUACAGAGGUCUCCAAUACAGACAUCCGAACACAACAUUAAUGAAAUGGCAUACUUCUCAUUGAUUGCAGAUUUACACAAUUAAUGACAUUUCUGCAUUUGGUUAGUACUACAUCUGGGCCCCAUUCGUUUGUAUGAGGACCUUUAACUGAUUGCACAUUUUUAGGAUAUUAUAUCCUAUUAUCCCAAUUUUUUUUCCAAUGCAACUAGUCUAAAUGCAGUUAACCAGAACUUCUUUUAAGUUGUGCUAUUUUUUUAUGUUGCAAGUCUCAGGCAACAACAACAACAACAAAGCCUUUAGUCCCAAACAAGUUGGGGUAGGCUAGAGGUGUUGCAAGUCUCAGGCAAUGGCUCAAAAUUUUGAGGCAUACGUGUUGGGGUGCAAGAGCUGCACUCCCCCUUGGGAAUGUUUUGUCAAAGAGUCCGCUGUCAGACAUAUUGAUUUUGAUGGCACUUCCAGGGAGUUUUAUCCGGGAAAGUAUAUCAUGGGCCCUAUGAUAUCCGAUUGUCUAAUGGACAGGCAUGCAGAGUUGGAGUCUUAUUCUCUAAUGAAGAACUUCAGACAUCCAAAUGUUGUCACUGUAGAGAACUUCUACGAUCACUGGGGUUGUCCUAGAUUUGUGUUAUCAUGGGUUGAUGGGAGCUUGUCUGCAUGGAUGAAGGGAGAUGGGGCUGGGAGGAUGUUUAAGUCCACCAUGAAGGGGAGUGUUCCCACGGGUGCUCUAAGACGAAUGAUAAUUGAUCUAUGCAGUGGGCUUGAACGUUUAAUAGAGGAGCAACUUUAUCCUCUAAAGAUUGAACUUAAUGACAUUUGUGUGCGCCGGCAGGGCCAAAGGGGAAUUCCAUUGCUCUACAUCAAUAGAGUUGAAAAGUUGUCAGCUUUUGAUGGAAGGCGUCGGCAGGGGAAGCUAUGGGGGGAUAUUAGAAGAGCUCUGAAGGAAGUGUACAAGCAGGCUCCAGCGGGUAUUGAUCCAAUUGCCCAAAGGUUCAUCAACUAUGUUGGAGUGAAAGACGUCAGUGCACUGCAGGGUUUCCUGGACCUCUGGGACUAUCGAAGGAAGGCUAGAUUUUUGCUCUCUAUAAUUUCAAAUGACAUUUCAGGUUAACUCCAGAAUGUGCAUAUAUAUUGGCCAACAAUCCUGAAUAGUAACCGUCUGCGCUCACCGUUCCAAGAGAUCCUAGACCAUCAGGAAAAGACACGCGGAGCGGUCUAUAGGACAACCAGCCGGUAUGACUACUUAAGACUCUGUAAGGAUGCCAUCAAACACUGGCCUGUUAUGCCUGGUUCUGUCAAGGGUGACUGUGCUACUUUGGAGCGAUUUAUUGACAAGAUGGAGAGGUGGAACCCACUGAUCUGGUGCUAUCUCUACGAAGCCACUGCAUGAUACCUGUGGAUGUAUGGCAACAGCCAGACUACUAGCUUGACUGGGCUUCUGGAAACUAAAGACAUGGUGAAUGUUAGACAUUGGCAGCAAAAGCUGGUCAUCUAUAUUCUCAUGUAACUUAUGUAUUGAGGCUAGCUGGUUUUUUGUAAUGUCCCUGCUUGGAGUUGUUCAAUACCUGUGGAUGAGAGGCCUGUUGUCAUUUCUUAUAAUACUUCAGUUGAAUGUUUUAGUAACAGAAUGUUCGGCUGACUGUUGAAGGAUUACAUAACUGCAGUUCUGCUUUCCGUAUGUGCAUGCCAAAUGAAAAGUCAAUACCGUGAUGACUGAGUUUUA